rnacentral:lncRNA from 1 species
AAGAAAGCAAAAAGAAACAGAGAAUAAUAAAAGAAAGGGUAAAAGAAACGUGGAAGCAAAAAAAAGAGUGGAUGGUUUGGAGUGGGACCAAAUUUAGGAAUUUGGAUAAAAUCUAAAAAUAAAAUUUAAAAUUAUCAAACUAUCCAUUUAAACAAUUAUAUAUCUCUAACAAAUCUCCCUAGAAUAACAAUCCCCCUUAAACUCC